GGUGUGGACGGGGAGUGGGAAAGCGGGCCGCGCGAACCGGGGGUUGUGGACCCGGGAGCGGACGGCGGGGGCUGGGCAGCAGGUCGUAAGCUGUGUGGACCGGGAGUGGGAGAGCGGAUGAUGUGGAUUGGAGAGCAGCGAGGCGUGGAUGGUGAUGCGGGGGGCAAGGGCGGCGUGGACGGAGAGCGGCAGGGAGCAGGCAGUGUAGACCGGGCUUGGGAGAGUGGGUGGCGUGGCUCCGGACCGGGCUGGGAGAAGCGGGGCUGGCUCUGCUGCCCCUUCCCCGGAGGCGUGGCUGGUGUGACCCUGGCAGCGACGCAUGACCAUUGCAAAUAUCGAUUCCACCCCUGUGCUGCACAAACCCACAGCCCACAGCUCCGGGGGCCCCUAAAGUUCCACUGAUAAAGUGCAAGAAGGGAUAAGCAGAUGGAAAAAGGAUUUGAAAUUGACAUCAGACAGGACUCAUUUGCCUCCUACACGGGAAGCUCCUAGGAAUCAACAGGAAAAAGGUGCGCUGUCCUGAACCCUGGGGAUACGCCCAGGAGCCAGCAUAGGAGGCCGUGAUCCGGGGUCAAGUGACAGGCACUUGGAAGAGGUGCCCCGUGCUCUGCGUCAUCCUUGGCCGAAGCUGCUUCGCGGAGCAGACCCCACCGUACGUGCCUCGGGCUGUCGUGAAAUGUCUGUUUCGGGCUUGUUUCUGACUCACAAGACCUCAACUUUGUGCGGCUCGACCUGCCUGCGGGAUGUCAGCUAGCGGAACACGGAAUACAAAAACAGCAAUGGCAAUGACUCUUCAAAGACCCAGGGCGAGCUCGCGUAGCAACGGGGCCCGGAACCCACUACACGAACUCCCUCCAGCAUGCUGCUGCCCGGGCCCCCCCAGCAGGGUCCGGGAGCCUUUCGGGCCAGCCUGUGGCGCUCCUCGCGUGUGCAUGUAGGCGUGGAGGGCCUCUGGAGGAGGAGCCUUGUGGCUCUUUGGCAGUCGACUAUUUUCCUGACCGAGCCCGCGGAUGCUUCGGUAGCCGUGACAUAGACCAAAGCCACUGGCGUCUGUCCAGAGGGGACGAAGGGCGCCUGCUGGCUCUCCCACGUGAAAUGCGUGUGGACGGCGGUGGAGUCUGGCCCCGCUCUGUCUGUGGACAAAGCAGCACGCCCGUGACUUUAAGGGCUCUUAAUUGGAUCUGGGGCCAAGGGAGAACUUGCCCUUGGCUCUGUCCAGGCUCAGCCGCAGAACAAGGCUCGAGAGCCCCAAGGUAUAGGCUGAAUGUCAUCUGAUCGGAGCUGCCGGAAAGAUCUUUUGGUUUUUUUCCAUUUUCUCUUUGGAUAUAGCCAAACAGCCUAUUGGGAAGAAUCAUGGGGACGUUUCUACAACUGUCUAACGCGGAGAGGCUGCGUGCGGGGGUUUCCCGGACCGCGGGAAGGGGAGUACAGACGUGUGAGCGGCUUCACUCCUGCCGCGAGCCUGAGGUGCCGCAUCUGGGGACCACGAAGGUCCGUUCCCAGAGCUGUUCCAGUCCCCCUAAGAAUGCAGCGUAUCGUGAGAAGUCACCAGCUAGGGUGUGUUAUGGCACCAACCGCGGCCACCAACCGGACUGGACUUUGGCCAGCGGGGGGCAUUACACUGGUACCUGCUGAUUAAUUACCCCGGCAUGGCGACAGGCUCCAGCCAGAGGGUCGCAGGGGCCGAGGAAGUGUUUCUGACACGGGGACCUGCUUUAGGUUGAGCGUGGGGCCCCUGAAGGGCAUAUUAAUGUGGGCUCUCACCUGGAACGGAGGAGGGGAAGGCGGGAUCCGUUCCGUUAACUUAGAGUGCUCUGACCCCACGCCCCCGGUUUCCCCAGGGGAAUGGAAGCCCAAGGGGGGCAGGCUGGCCCCAUCCCCGGGUCAGCUGGAGGCCAGCAGUAACAGGUGCUGUCCUGGAGGGCCCCGUCUCCUAAGCCCGUCCUAGGUGUCCCCGCACUGGAAUUUGGUCUGGGGUCUGGAGCCAGGGUCUGAGGUGUGAGCAGGGGUGCCGUUAUGGGUGGGGUCGCGUCCCUCCAAAAUUCCUGCGUUGGGGUCCUAAUCCCCAGCACCUCAGAAUGUGGCCUUAUCUUACAGACGGGGUCCUUACAGAGGUGAUUAAUCCACAGGGCGUCAAGGCAGGUACCACACCAGCGUGGCCGUGCCCCUACAGAAAGAAGAGAUGCGGACGGGCACGCCCACGGGGAGCGUGCCAGGUGGAGGCAGGGAUGGGGUGACGCUUCGAUAAGCCAAGGAAGGCCAGAGACACUGACAAACACCAGGGGCCUGGCGAGAUCAUCCUGGCCCACAGGAGCCACCAGCCCUGCCCACGCCUCGACCUCGGGCUUCUGGCCUCCAGAGCUGGGGGGACUGUCCAUUGCUGAGCACAAGGCUGUGUGGAUCGCAAGAGGCCAGCCCGCCCUGCAGGGCACAGCGUCUGGUUCUCGAGAAGCAUGGGUUUGCACCAGAUUCCGAGGGAAACCUGAGCGCGGGGAGAGGCAAGAGGUAGGUGUUCAGAUUCCCUCAAAAGGGAAUCGGCACGUUGUCAAGCAAUCCCUUUAACUCGUUUCAAUGAAAUCGCACUUGAAAUAACUAAAUUCGAAUUCUUGCCAUAUCACGAUGGCAUAUGAAGGACCCCCAACCUGUGAAUAAAACUGGAAAAGCAGAAA